rnacentral:lncRNA from 1 species
UCUUUUUUCUCUUUGGCUACAGGCCAUUUAUAUUUUCUUACCAUUGACCGUAUUGUGGGCUAUAUUAGUAUGUGAUGCUAUUUAUUGUACAUCAAAUUCAUAGUCCCUUGUACAUAUGGAGGUGUUAUGAACAUCAAUAGCACAUAUUGUUAAAUCAACAAUUUUGGUUUGUGAUAUCUAAAGAUGAGGGUGUAAGACUAGAAAAUCUUUCCUAUCUAUCCGAAAUAUUUUUCAUAUAAUUAUUGCUUGAGCGUAAUUAUUUGGAGCGCUAAAAUCUAUUAAUUGUUAGCUAAUUUUUUCAGUUCCCUUUAUUUCUGCAUGAGAACUGACAUAGCUUUGUUUCUUGUUUCAUUCCCUGCCCAGGUUCUUUGCUUGUUCGUUGCAUGUUGGUGUCGUUAGCUGGGAAGGUUAGACAUGCUUUCAUAGCUUGCUUUAUUAUUUGUGUGUGCCUGUGCUGCUGCUUGUGGGGUUAUCCUUCUGAUCUCAUCAGAAAAUAACACUAUUUGGUGCUUUCGAAGGCGUAUAUUCAUUUAGGUUCAUGUGCAUGUUUGUGUCAUUUUCAUUAUUUUCAGUACCCUUUCUUGCAUGGUCAAGCUAUAGCUUUCGGCAGUUCUGUUGCUCCUUGUUUGCCUGGUCAUUGUUUGUGUAUGGUCAAUCUAGUUGCUCGUACUUUCAUAUAUGUACUUUACGAUUCGCCAAAGUUUAUUCACAAAGAAUAUGCACAAGAAUGUGUACUUUGUGAUUCCCAAGACCACCUACUGUUGUUUACAUCUUCAUGGAUUUACUCUUGUUGCUCAUUGAUGCAUGAAAGUUAAUUGAUCCAUGUUUGCAACGUGCAUUAAGCCGUCUUUCCUUAUGCUUGUGCUGGAGAUUUGCUUCUUGGUGCUCCUUUUGGACAAAUAGAAGUCGGAUGUGCCCAGUUUUCUUUCUUUCUUAUUAAUGAUGCUUGUUUCGGUUCCCAGUGUAACACGUGGUUGCCGCUUGCGUGUGCGCAAAUCAAUGCCUGCUGCCGUGCUUAAGAAUUUACUGCAACGCCUCUUGCUGUUGCUUUAGUAUGUGUCCUUUAGAAUCUGACACAACACCACUUUAUUUUUACAUGUGCACACAAUGAUUCUUGUUGCUCGUUAAUACAUGCAGAUUAGUGAACCAUAUCCAGUAGAUUAUGUUGGGUAUCCAUUAUCACAUAAAGUGUCGUGUUCAAACCGUGCAUUUGUUUGGAACAGAUCAUGGUCAAACCUCAUACAAAACCAAGGCAGAAAGCGUCCCAACAAAGUGUUUCAAAAUGGCAGGGUCUGGAUAGGCGAUCCCUGGUUUCUGUGUGAUUUAGUGUGCACGACACACAAAGAGCAGUCUGCUGAGAACAAGCACCUUCUUAAAAGCACAUUUCUGUGAUGACAACACUUCUCCUUCCUUGAGCAACUUCUCCACGAGUGAUUUAGUUUUCUCAACACACGAAGGCUAUUCAAUAUCACGAGGGGUGGCAUCAGUACGGCAUCCCGUAUCAUCAAUACGAGUGGUGCCGUAUGACAGCUGGGGCCAUGCUUCGGUAGGGCCAGAAGCCAGCGGGUGGGUCUUGCCUAUGCAUCACCGGCGUUGCUUCAUCUCUCUCCUCCUGGUUGGCCGAGACGCUUGCGUGCGUGUGGAUUGGCUAGUGUGAGUGUCAGGGGUGGAAUUCUGCUACUUUAUUGGCUUGUUGUGUACCCUGUCUUGAUGGUGGUCCCGGUUCAUGGUUUGGCCCGCGGAGCAAUGGCUUGGGUAUUAUAUCAGUUGGGUUCAUCCGGGGUGCCCGCUGGUAAAGCAGUGCAGGCCUCCGUCCGUUGAGUUGAAGGGUGUGUCACGCUAGGUGAGGGUUGCACGCCACACUUCUACCCGGUUGAGAGAGGCUCCAUCGGUGCGAGUGGUCCCUGUGUUGUGUGGUCCCACUUGUCGGUUAAAUGGGUAAGAGCACCUGGGUUCUCUUGAAAAUUACAGCGGCUGUGUGGAUGGGGCUUGUCAGGGAUGCUAAGUGCCACGUUCGGUGAACCAGCGGCAGUGGGUGGAUGCGUGGCUCCUCGUCUCUCAUUGGCUUGUUUGCAUCUCGUCUUUUUCGCUCACUCUUUACAUUGUUCGCAUCUCGUCUCUCAUUUGCUUGUUCAUCUCUGGGCUGCCUGCUCGGGGAGGUAAACUCUUUCUUGCUCGUCUCUUGUUUGAUAAAAUGCCUUUGCGCUAACAUAGUACCUUUUAUUGUUUUGACAUUUCUCCUGCUAUUUUGUGGCUUUUUCCUUCCCAUCUCGUUAGAAACAACGACCAUUCUUUGCUUAUGGUUCUCUGCUUCCUGCUCUGGGAAAGAUAGGUUCAUGUCACUGUUAGAUGUCCAGGUCACUGUUUGUGCUGAUCAUUGGUUCUGUAUGCCCGAACCAAAGCCUAUUGCUUAAAAUAAUGUGCUUUGAAAUCCAAUAUAGCACCUCUUACUGUUGGCACAUAGUAGGAGUAAUUAUUGUUGCUCAUUGAUACGUUGGAGCUAAUUAGUUGCUCACUGAUACAUGGAAGCUAAUUUGCCAGCAAAUAAAAUGAAACUAUGGUUACAGUGUCGAGUAAGGCCUUUGUUUCGUAGGAAUCUGUGCCCCGAACUAAUUUUUGCUGCUUUAAAAUAUGCAUGUUGGUUGAAAGGAGUAAUUAUUCUUUGUUCAUGCAUGUUGCUUUUCUUGGUAGGAAGAUUCCAGUAGAAUAGAUGAUCAUUGUUCCUCUGUUCCCAAACUAAUUCUUGCUGCUUUAAAAUAGGUCCUUUAAAAUCCAACAGAACAGCUCUAGCUGUUGACAUAUGGAAGGAUUUCUUCUUGUUGCUCACUAAUAUAUGGAAGUUAAUUAACCAACAACUAAAAUGAAACUAUGGUUGCAUUGCCAAGUAAGUGUUUGUUUGUUGUUUACAUGCAUGCUGCUUUGCUUUUCAUUGUUCACACAUAAUAGUUGGUGCUUGUUGGCAUGGCUAAACAAAUAGUCCCUCGGUUCCCUAAUGUAAGACCUUGUAGCUAUUUCAGUAUUGACUUCAUAUGUACUAAAAUGAGUGAACAUAUAUACUAAAAUGUGUCUAGACACAUACAAACCAAGAAAAAGCAAAAAUGUCUUAUAGUAGUGAAUGGAGGGAGUAGUUGAUAUGUGGGGCACCUUCUCCUGUUUACAUAUGCAUGCAUAGUUCUUGUUGCUCAUUGACAAAUGGGAAUUGAUUAGCUAAACAUGAUCUUUCUUUUUGUCCCAUUUUGACUCUCUGAUUCUGGUUAUGUUUACUGUGUAGGUUGUUUGUCUGGCUGAGUGCUGACUUGUUUUCUGCUGCUUUGCCUGCUCGGCCUGUCAUCUGCUCGGCCUGUCAUCUGCUGCUUUGCCUCUGCUUGGCCUCUCUGAUUCUAGCCUCUGCUCGGCCUGUUGUCUGCUGCUUUGCCUGCCAAGGUUUGUGCUUGCCCUUUCUAAUUCUCUAUUCAUUAACCAAUGUAUGUCAUGUAGGGCCCUAAUUCCUUUUGUUUUGCAGGUCCUAUUGUUAUCGUCUACUGCUCUGUUGGCUCGCCAGCUGCUCGGUCUUGCCGUCGAAGUUUGUGUUCUUUGCUGAAGUUUUCAAUUCCUUUUAUUUCUGCAUGUGAACUGACAUAGCUCUGUUUCUUGUUUUGUUCCCUGUCCAGGUUCUUUGCUCGUUCGCUGCGCGUCGGUGUCGUUAGCUGACAAGGUUAGACAUGCUUUCAUUAGUUUGCUUUAUUAUUUGUGUGUGCCUGUCCUGCUGCUUGUGGGGUUAUCCUUCCGAUCUCAUAACAUUGCAUGGUGCUUUCGGAGGCGUAUAUUCAUUUAGGUUCAGCUCCAUGUUUGUGUGAUUUCCUUGAUUUUCAGUACCCUGUCUUGCAUGGUCAGGCUAUAGCUUUCGACAGUUCUGUUGCUCCUUGUUUGCCUGGUCAUUGUUUGUGUAUGGUCAAUCUAGUUGCUGGUGCUUUCAUAUAUGUACUUUGUGAUUUGCCAGAACAGCAACUGUUGUUUACCUCUGCAGAGAUUUAUUCUUGUUGCUCAUUGAUGCAUGAAAGUUAAGUCCAUGGUUACAACGUGCAUUAAGCCGUCUUUCCUUCUGCUUGUGCUGGGGAUUUGCUUGCCGUGUGCUCCUUUCGGACAAAUAGAAGUCGGAUGUGCAUAGUUUCUGGCUUUGUUACUAAUGAUACUUGUUUUGUUACCCAGUGUAACAUGCGAUUGCCGCUUGCGUGUGCGCAAUCCAAUGCCUCCUGCUUUAAUAUUCGUGUUUAAGAAUUUAGUGGUACGCCUCUUGAUGUUGCUUUAGUAUGGGUCUUAUAGAAUCCUACACAACACCACUUUCUUUUUACAUGUGCGGACAAUGAUUAUCAAUGUGUGCAUAGGUAGCCUUGAGGUAGCCUUGAGGCUACCUAUUUUUUGUUAUGAGAAUUACAAAUAUGCGGAAUUCAUGAUUAUUAUCAGCAUCUGUCAAUAUUUUGACAUGUUUCGUGUGAACCAUGAAUAGCUAGGCCUGAAAAUGAGGCAAUUUAUAACUGUCCUGUCAUGAUAUUUAUUGAGAAAAGAGCUGCUAAGUUUGUAUUGAGAAAAGAGCUGCUAAGUUCAAGCCGUGCAUUUCUUUUGAAUAGAUCAUGGUCAAACCUCAUACAAAACCAAAGCAGAAAGUGUCCUAACAAAGUGUUUCAAAAUGGCAGGAUCUGGAUAGGCGAUCCCUUGUUUCUGUGUGAUUUAGUUUGCACGACACACAAAGAGUAGUCUGCUGAGAACAAGCACCUUCUUAAAUGCACAUGUCUUUGAUGACAUCAACUUCUCCAUCCUUAAGCAACUUCUUCGCGAGAGAUUUAGUUUUCUCAACACCUGGAGGGCAUUUAAUAUUACAAAGGGCGGCAUCAGUACGCCUUCCUGUAUCAUCAAUAUCAGUGAGGAUAUAUUUGCAGGUAGGAUUAAAUACCCUUUUGUGCUUUCCCUCGUGCUGAUAGGCAUGUGCUUUGUCUCUUGGUGUUUGUGUAUUAUUCUUUAGUUCUAGUAUUAAUUAGUUCUGUCGUUGUCUAGUAUUUGCUGAGUUAAGAAUAUGAUGCUUGUGUGGUUGAUGAUCACAUCUAAUAACUCAGUGAUAUAGGUUGGGCCUCCCUUUUGAGCCUUGCUCUUUUUACUUGUGAACUGCAGCUAUUGAUCGAUGUUCUUCCAACCAAUUAUAUCUUGUUAUUGUAUUGAGCUAUCAUUUUGUUGGAACAUGUCAUAUGUUUGUGCUGUGGUUAGUUGGAACUUUAGUUCCCUUCUAGCACUGAUUUGGUGGCUUAAGAGAUGCUUUUUUGUCCCCAUCCACUGUCCAAGGCUUGAAUGUGCUGGCUUUUUUGCUCUCUAGAAAUGACUUAGUCCUUGAACAUUUGUUCGCGUCGAUGGGUAAUAGGCCUGAAAAUAAGGCCAUUUAUGACCGUCCGUUCAUGAUAUUAAUUGAGAAGGAGCUGCUAGCUUGUGUUGCGUAUCAGUUCUCACAUAUCUGUCAUGUUAAAAACGUGCAUUUCUUUUGAACAGGUCAUAUUCAAACCUUGUGCAAAACCAAGGCAGAAAUCAUCCCAACAAAGUGUGGCAGGAUCCAGAGAGGUGAUUCCUUGUUUCUGUGCGGUUUAGUUUGCUCAACACACUGGGUAGUCUUCUGAGAAAAAGCGUCUUCUUAAAAGCACAUGUCUUUGCUACACCAACUUCUCCAUCUAUGAGCAAAGGCUGCGUCCCUGAGAAGGAUUUGGUAAGCUUUUGAUGUCGAAUACCCACUAGAUUUAUUUCCUGUUUGAAUUAAGCCAACCAUUCUUCUAGUCUGUUUUUAUGUGAGUGAUCUUUUGCUCACUCUACUCUCCAGGUUAUUUGUCACCGAGGGAACUUGACAUGCUCAAGGGAGGUUAUUUGUCACUGAGGGGACUUGACACGCUCAAGGGCCACCUGGAGAUGGUUGUCAAGCGGAAGUGUCUCUCGUCGGCACUGACUUGGUGGUGGUUUCCGUGGUCUCCGAUGAAGGUUGCUGGGCGGCAGCCAUGGCCAACAAUGCAUGCACGGUCGAAGGCUCGGCUCAGCGACCGUGCUGUAUGACCUCGGCUAUAGUCGAUUAGGUAAGUUGCUGAUUUUCCUGGGUCUCGUCCUCUAGGCCUCACCUGCUCUGGGACCUUGCCUUCGAGCACUGCGUGCCGGCCAUCGAGCCGUGGUUGAUUCUGUGAUGCUAGACAACCAUGCUUUUGGCGAUGAUUGAUUCCAUGUUCACGUAGUUAAUAUAAUUAGGGUGACAGACUUGAACUGAUCUUAGUUUGGACCUAUGCCCAUCAGUUCAUUUAUAAACCAGAGCUUUGGAAGCUUGUUGUUUCAGUAGUAAAAUUUGGAAUCCCGUACAUUUACUCCCUCUGAUACUAAAUAUAAGUAGUUGUGGGAGUUUAGUUUACACUCCCGUAACGACUUAAAUUUAGGAACAGAGGUAGUAUUUGGUAAACUUUGACAUGUCUUUUCAAAGUUUUCUUGCUUUCUUGCUAAUGAUGAUUGUUUCGUUACCCAGUGUAACACAUGAUUGCCGCUUGUGUGUGCGCAAGCCAAUGCCUGUUGCUUUAAUAACCGUGAGUAAGAAUUUAGUGGAACGCCUUUUGUUGUUGCUUUAGUAUGUGUCCUUUAGAAUCCAACACAACACAGCUUUCUUUUUACAUGUUCACACAAUGAUUCUUGUUGCUCGUUAGUACAUGCAGACUUGUGAACCAUCCAAUAGAUGAGCCUUUGAUUUCAGUGUCAAGUUGUAUGUUGUUUGCUGUUUAUUCAUGUUAUGGUUUAGUCCUAGAUUAUCUCUGUAAAUGUUAUGUUAAGGUUUGCGUCUAUAGGUGCUAUAGGCUUGAAAAUGAGGCCAUUUAUGACUGUCCCUUCAUGAUAUGAAUUGAGAAAGGAGCUGCUAGCUUGUGUUGGGUAUCAGUUAUCACAUAUCUGUCAUGUUAAAAACGUGCAUUUCUUUUGAACAAAUCAUGUUCAAACCUUGUGCAAAACCAAGGCAGAAAGCGUCCCAACAAAGUGUGGCAAUAUGGCAGGUCCGGAGAGGUGAUCCCUUGUUACUGUGUGAUUUAGUUUUCUCAACACACAAGAGUAGUCUGCUGAGAACAAGCGUCUUCUUAUGUAGCAGAUUUAUUCCCUGUUUGAAUUAACCCAACCAACUUCUCCAUCUAUGAGAAGAGGCCGCGUCCUUGAGAAAGAUUCGGUAAGCUUUUGAUGUCGAAUAUGUAGCAGAUUUAUUCCCUAUUUGGAUUAAGCCAACCAUUCUUCUAGUCUUUUCCUGUUAAUAAUCUUUUACUCACUCCUCUAUUCUCCAGGUUGUUAUAGGUCACCGAGGAAAGUUGACACGCUCAAGGGUCACCUGGAGAUGGUCGUCAAGCUGAAGUUGCUUUCGUCGGCACUGACUUGGUGGUUGUUGUUGUGGUCCCCGACGACGGUUGCUGGGUGGCAGACAUGGCCUCCAAUGCGUGCACGGUCGAAGGCUCGACUCAGCGCCCGUGUUGCAUGACGUUGGGUAUAGUCGAUUUUGUAAGUUGAUGGUUUCUGGGUCCUCCCCUAUGCCAUUGAGCCGUGGUUGAUUCUGUGAUGCUAGACUGCCAUGCUUUUGGUGAUGAUUGCCUUCCAGCUAUGACUGCUUGGUUCCAUGUCCACGUAGCAUUAUACAUAUGUUGUUGCUGCAGUUUCCAUGACAAACUUGCAGUGAUCUUAGUUUGGACCUAUGCCCAUCAGUUCAUUUGUGAACCAGAGCUUUGGAAGCUUGAUGUUUCAGUAGUAAACUUUGAAAUUCGCUACAUAUAUUUUGUAAACUUUGACAUCUCUUUUUCAAGUCCAACUCUGGCUGUUUUGUCUUGUCUUGUUUCAUUGCCAACAUGGUUUAGGUUCAUGUUGUAAUAGUCAAGAGCAAGUUGGUAGCAACAUUAGGUUUAAGUAAAUCCGUGUGUUGUGCAAGUGUCAGUAUUCUAGCAGCUCAUAUGGAAUUCUCUGUGAUUUGUUCUUUCUAAUUUUGUUUCGCCCUUUUUUCAGGUUAUUCGAUUGGAGGUGACUCUUGGAAGGAGGUUACUCAUUGAGAUUGAUAAUCCAAAAGUGGCAAGAGGGCAGGAGAGGAAGAGAUAGCCUAGAUUUGGAGGCACUAGAUAAAAUGGCUAGGCGAGUUAUUUGCCGGCUGAGGAAUUAGUGUUGGAGGCUAAUGUCCUUUUUUAUUUGUGUGUGAUUUCUCUACUUUCUUGUCCUGGUGGCUACUUGAGCUAGCUAUGUAUGUACGUACGAACAAUGCAUGUUGUGAAUGAAAAAAAAAUGAAAUAAAAUUCUUCGCUUUUGUUGAUUCAUUUUUGGCUGAGUGCAAAUGGCUGGCUAGAUGGCAUGCUUAAUUUCCUUUUCCAUUCUCUGCUGAGCCCUGAGGCACUUAUUCUUGCCCUUGUGUACACGUUGCUGCGAUGUAGUAAAUGGGAAAAGGCAUUCCUGUGGCAGCAACUUAUUUGUGUCCGUUAUUUCCAUUUCAUAUGGCAGCAAUCUUUGUUUUAUCAUCCUUCUCAAAUUGAAUGUCCAAAUAAUCAAAUGUGAGCAUGGCCUCAUGAUUUGCUUAGAUUAUAUAUACUAUAGCUAAUACUCAAAUCUUAUUGGCCAAUCUGCCUCUCUAAAUCUACACAGAAACUUCUCUAAAUACACAUAGAAAUGCCUGAGCCAAACUGUGUGCAUAUACCAGCAGUAGACACAAAUGAAGAAGGAAAGAAACGUUGGUGGUUCAAAUAUGAAUAUAUGCCAGCAGCAGAUACAAUGGAGAAAGAAAAAAAGAAAGAAAGAAAGAUUGGUGGUUCAAAUAUAAAUAUAUGCCAGUAGCAAAUACAAUGGAGAAAGAAAGAUCGGAUUGGUGGUUCAAAUGUAAAUAUAUUCCAGAUGAAAGAAAGAUUGGUGGUUAAAAUAUAAAUAUAUCCCAGCAGUAAUGCAAUGGAGAUGAGAAAGAAAGCACGAGAGAAGAUCUGGCAACAAAACAACCAAGCAGCAGUAAAAGGAAACCGAUUGCGUAGUUUUAGGGAAUCCCACGGGCCAGAUCCAGCUGCUGCUGAUUACAAGGAAGGAAGGGAAACAAUAAAACGUCUGGCCGUGCACCUUUCAAGGAGCCGACGUUAAUUCUCUCCAAAACCAACAUAGUUGGCUCCAUUACUCCCUCCCUCCCUCCCUGCAUCUCGUUCGUCCAUGCGCAAUGUGAUCCAAUCCAUCUAUUGGCUCUCACUCGCCUCACGCGGAUCGGGCUCCCAUCCGUCGCCUCACGCGCCGCUCCUAUCGAUGUCUCUCUAUAAAUGGCCUCCUCUCCAUCCAAUCCCUCCCACUUUGCUCCUCUUCUCUCCUCGGUCCAAUGCCAAGCACAGCCUGCCCGAUCCAUCCAUCUGCUUCCAUUUAUCCAUGGAGACACAUGGUUUGCAAUUUGGCAGAGGGAACCCCUCCAAGCAGAUCCCCUCCCUCCAUUCUUCUCCAUGGGCUACGUACUACUCAUCAGGUACUUACUGAUUUUUCCUCACAAGUUACUAUUAGUGUUGAAUCCCAAUUUUGGUUAGUCUCCCUUGGGUUUGUUGAUUUCCUUCUCUAGAUGCCUGCAUAUCUGAUUGAAGUCUUGUUCAGGAAUGGCCGACGAUGUUUCAGUUGAUAAAACCAUCUCCCUUCUCACUGAGAGAAUAAAACCUGGAUACCUGUUUCAUUUGGCUUCUGCUUUAUAUAUGUUGAAUUUCUAUGUUUUAUAUAUGUUCAAUUUUUAUGCUUCCGAGUAAACUUGGGGUACUUGUCAUGAACAGAACAACCCAUGUUCUGCUUUUCUUUCAGAAGCUAGUGACUGAAUAUGGCAUAACUGAGAAAUAGAUAGUCACCUCUCUGAAUAUGUGCUGGUUUGACUAUGCGAACAUGGGGACUUUUAUCAUGCACACUGUGUCCUCUUUACCAUUUAAAUGCUUCGGCCCCUUGCUUAUGGUGUGAACUUUUGCCGCUGUUAUUGAAUUGUGUCAAGGCAAAGCACCAAUUUCUGCUCCCACCAUGUAAUUUGAGUCAUGCAUUUUUUUUAAUGAGUGAUGACAUAUAUAGCAGCGUACAAGUAAUCUCUUUAUGUGUCUUGGAGAUUAUACAUGCAUUCUAGUCUAAUGGAUACUGUAGGAUUAUAUAGGUUAAUAUUGGCUAGGAACAUGCUUAUGUUGUUUGGAUUUAAAACUUUGUAGAACGUAGCAAUCAAUAUGUGGGAGAAGAAAAAGUCUUACCGGACAUGUUUUUGAUUUGACGGUUUCACUCUUCUGACAUGUACAAUCUUGGUUUGCAUUUUCUGUCAUUAUAUUAUAUAUAGCUUUGAAGAAAAGAAACCCUGAUAUAUCGAAGAUACAUUUUAAUUUUGCCUUUCCGGAUUUCCUAAAAGACAUCGAGGUCCCUGUUUGUCAGUGGGAUCCCAUAACAAAAACAUCGAUUUGGCGAGAGGAGAAAGGCGAUUCUGCUCAAGUAGAGAAGGUUUCGAGAAAGGCACCGCUCAAAAGAAAAUAGAAAGGCGUAGGAAUAAAAUGAACGAAGAAAGAAGACGCCCGGCCCCGGUGGAGUAGUUGUAAUUUGUAAUGGUCUCCCUUCCAUGUGAAAUACGAAAUACAAGAAGACUUGUGAUUCUUCUCAACGCGUUAUGCUGCCGAAAUUUCUAGCGAAAUUUCCCCCGACUUCAGGGUGUCGGCUGUAAAAUGGUAGGCCCUUGUUUGUAUAAAAAUGAAAACUUUAGGGUGACGGCUACAAAAAUCAAAUGGCAUCAGUUCUUCUUUAAAACUUUAAUGUGAAAUGUUCUUUUUUUUCCAGCUCCUGACGGCGUCCCCACCUGUGGAUGUCGUGGUUGCCAAAGAUGGUAGCGGGGAUCAUGACACCAUCAGUGCGGCUGUGGCGGCAGCACCGCCAGGGGGUUCAAGGUACAUCAUCCACAUCAAGGAAGGACUGUAUCAGGAGAAGGUUGAAGUGCUCCAACGGAGCAAUGUCAUGCUCAUCGGAGAUGGAGCUGCUCGAACAGAGAUUAUUUAAUUUUGUUAGUGUGAUUUUUGUUGUAGGCGUUCCCCCCUUUUUAUCUUGUACUACCUUUGUUCAUUCUCCUUUUAUAAGACAUUUUAGACAUCCACUAUAUAUGAAAACAAAAGGAGGGAGUAGUAUAUAUAUAUCUGUAAAUUUCACAUGCACUUGUUCUGCAUAAUAUAAUUGGAAAACAAUUUCACCCGCGCGUGAGUGAAUGCAUGCUUGAGGUAACUAAAUGGUGCGCUGCUGCAUGCAGGCGCACAACGGAAAGGCAUCAUAAUUCGAGACUUGACCAUCGAAAACACAGCGGGGCCGGAAGCAAAACAAGCCGUGGCCCUUCUGUCCAACUCCAACAAAUCCGUAUUUUACCGCUGUCAGAUCCUGGGUUUCCAGGACACCUUGCUAGCCGAGAACUUUCUGCAGUUCUACAAGGAAUGUGAAAUCGCGGGGACGGUGGACUUCAUCUGGGGGGCUGCCGCUGCUGUGUUCCAAGAUUGUGUCCUUGUCGCGCGCCGCCCGGGCAUCAUGCAGCAGAAUGUGUUGACUGGCCAGGGACGCAACGGAGUCGACAAUGCCUCAGGGUUCACGUUCCAGGGAUGCAACGCGAGGACCGCCGCGGCGUCGAGACGUAUCUCGGGCGCCCAUGGCAGCCGUAUGCCCGGGUAAUCUUCAUCCACUGCCACAUGGACGCCAUAGUGCACCCCUUAUGGACAGGGUGGUUGCCCUGGAACAAUAACGUCACUGCCACGCGCACUGUCUUCUUCGCCGAGUUCGAGAACCAGGGUCCUGGAGCCGACGUGCGCGUUCGCGUCAACUGGGCUGGCUUCCACAACAUAAAAAAGGCGUCCAAGGCGGCCAAGUUUACUGUGAACAACUUCAUCGAUGGCGGCGCCUGGCUGCCGGAGACCGGCGUCCCGUACAAGGGGGGGGCUUUGAUGAUAUAUAAGUCCCCUAAAUCCUGUUUAUGUAUGUGCUCUCUACCCUCGCAUCGGAGUACGUGCGAUAUAUAGAUCGAUCGGGUCAAGAGAUCCACCCGCGAUCGUACCGAAUAUGUAUACCAGGACCAUGAGGACGCGUGACGUCCUGCUGUGUGUGGAAGGAGAACCACCAUAUAUUCUAAGUGUGUGUGGGUGUGUCUCUCUGAUCCUCAACACAUACGGAUUCUGUAAUAAUAUAUUUUGCGCGUGGUGUGUUCUGUUUGUAUCCCUCCUCUCCAGCUCUAUAAUUUCUGCUCAGCAUUAAAAGUGAUCUAUACUACUAAUCUUGCCAACGACAUGCAUUGCAUAGUUUGAAUCAAAAUAAAAUCGUUUUGGACCGAAUAAAAUUGCAUAGUUUAUUACCAGCCAAAUAAAAAUAAAAAAAGCUCUCACAUAGUUUUACAAACGAAUAAAAAAUAAAUAUGCAUCUAUUGGUUGCCAACAUGAGCCCACAUAUGCUCAACCCAAUCAUUUUGCAGUUGCACGUGAGUUUCCCAAUCACGCAUGUCUUCAUGAAAUUGGGUAAACUGUUCAAACGUUGCCGCUACUCCAUGCUCAGGCACAACAUUCUCACCCUGAAACUGAAACCCUUGAUCAUACAGACAUUCUGGGCGCUCGUCUUCUACGAUCAUAUUAUGCAUGAUCACACAAGCAGUCAUCACCUCCCACAGUUUUCGCGUGCUCCAGGUAUUAGCAGGAUACCGAACGAUGCCCCAUCGAGAUUGCAAAACACCAAAGGCACGCUCGACAUCCUUCCUAGCACUCUCUUGCUCUUGGGAAAAUCUUUUCCUCUUCUCUCCGACAGGGUUGGGUAUUGUCUUCACAAUAGUGGUCCACUGAGGAUAGAUACCGUCGCCCAUAUAGUAUCCUUUGUCGUAGGUGUGGCCGUUGACAGUAAAGUUCACCGGUGGGCUGUUGCCUUCGGCAAGCCUAGCAAACACAGGCGAGCGCUGAAGCACGUUGAUAUCAUUGUGUGAUCCGACCAUGCCAAAGAAAGAGUGCCAGAUCCAGAGAUCUUUAGACGCCACGACCUCAAGUAUGACAGUUCUUUCACUCCCAAUGCAUGCAGUCUAUACUACCAAGCAUCCCUGGGAAGCCCCUGCUGGCAUUCAUCGCCAACAAACUGGCUGUAUCUUCAGCAGUCGGCUCUCUCAAGUACUCAGGGCCAAACACAACAAUAACAGCCUUGCAGAACUUAUAUAGGGACUCUAGGCAAGUAGACUCGCUCAUACGGACGUACUCGUCAACGAGAUAACCGGGCACUCCGUAUGCAAGUAUUCGGAUGGCGGCAAUGCAUUUCUGAUAAGAGAAAAAACCAAUCUUGCCAACGGCAUCCUCUUUGCACUCGAAAUAGUCAUCAUAGCCGACCACCCCCUGUUUAAUACGGUUAAAAACAUGCCUACUCAUACGGAAACGACGGCGGAAUUUCUGAUGUUUGAACAACGAGUUUGUUGUAUCAAAGUAGUCCAUUCAAAGAAGGAAAUGCCCGCUCUCUCGGUUGCGAUUCAACGCCGGAAGGUGGCCCGGAAUGGAGCCAAGGAACAAUGGCCACUGGUUGUUGAGGUGGUGAUGGACCAACACGGCAGCGAAUAUCUCCUCCUCGUCAUAGGAGGACGAAUCGUCGGAGUCGCAAAGAAAAUUGUGAAAAAAGAACUCGUCGGCGGAGUCCAUUUUGUACCUUGGCAAACCGUCGAACAGCUUGCAGGCGUCGGCAAAGGAGACGGCCGGUGAAGGGAGUCGCAGCACGCACGGACCAGCUAGCUGUCCUGCCGGCGUUCGACGAGUGUGCCGCCGUCCGACGAGCGUGCCGCCGUCCGACGAGCGUGCCGCCGUCCGACGAGCGUGUCGGUGAGGAUCUGGCUGGGCGGCAAGGCGACUUCUUGGUCGGGGUGGCUGUGUGGUGGGGGGCGCGGGGGAUGGGAAGCAUUCGGCUCCCCGGCGGCAAGACGGUGGUGGCGGGCGACGUGGGAGUGGGCGGCGUAGCUGCACGGAUGUGGAGGCCCUGGCAGCUGGCCGAGUCGCCGGCAAAAAUGGGCAGCGGCGUCGGCGACGAAGGAGGAGGGCGAGGGUUGUUGUUGGAUGGGGAGGGCAAUGUGGCACAGACCAGCGGGCCCGAGGGAAGGACAGAGUGACCGUACGCGUGUCCGUCGUGUGUCCGCGCCGACGCAAAUCCGGCUCAAAAUUAGACCGGAAAUGGGUCGCCAGCGGACAAAAAGCGGACGCGCAUCCGUUUGGGUUGGCGUGUUGGGCUGCCUUUUGUAUCCGCGCCGACCCAAACGGACGGGGCGGACGAAAUGGGUCGCCCCGUUGGAGUUGCUCUAACCCACUUAAUUGUAUCUAAGAGCACAUAUUACUUUGGUGGUCUGCCAUCCAAAUGAAUGGACGAGAUUAAAUGUUCUGCCAGUCUGCCACCAACGUACGAUCUCCACGCAUACCGACUAAUCUGCUCACGACCUCAUAGUGUUUGUCCCUCUUCAUUUGUUACUAGAUCGUGAAUGGCGCGCGUUGCUGCGCCCGUGUAUUAGGAAUUUUGGAUGAAAUCGAUUUGCAUUUUUUUUUGUAAAAACAUGUAUUUUGCUUUUUAUAUAUUUUUAGGAUGUUAUGGGCCACGUAAUAGAAUUUUCUUUUUUUCUUGGGUUGUUGUGGGCCUUUUUUGUUUGUGAAGUGCACACGCAGUCACAUCAAUAGACCAUGGAUCACCUCAAAAAAAUAAUAGACCAUGGUUUUCUCAAAAAAAAAAGACCAUGAUGAGGCUCCCGUGGUCUUAAUUCUCCCAUAGAAGCUAGAGGCGGCAUGUUAAUGAAAUAUUAUAUGCUUAUCAAUGGGUGGCAAUAAUAAAGUGCUUAUGGCUUUUCAGUUUUCAUUCUUGAUUACGUAUUUGUAACUGAUGAGUAAAAAACUUCUUUUAAAGUAUUAUGUAAUGACCACUUGUUUUCUCGAACCCAAAAGAAGCAGAAAGGUGUGCGUGGUUGUCCCUGUCCCGCACCACAAAGCACGGUGCGGAGGCCCAGCUUGUCCUUGUCUCCGACAUCAUCACUGAGGAAGGAGUCCCAGCCGUCGUCGCUCGAGCCAUCAGAGUGACUGCUGAUGUUGGACAUUAUCGCCGACGCUCGGGAGUUGACGGAUUGGAGCGAAGCAGAGCAGAGUGAAAGGAGGCCAGGGUUUGCUUUAGAUGGGAAUUUUGUGGGACCAGACGUGCCCGGGCGCGUCAACGAGCUUCAAGGUCUUCAUCAUAUAUAUCAUCCUAGCCAGUAGCUUCACGUACGUACCACACAUGCAUGCAUAAAGAAAAAGAACUUCUUUGCAUGCGUGCAUGCACGUCACCCACCGAGCUCCUGACGCGAUGAUGAGCUUCAAGCCUGCUUCAACGUUCACGAUGCCAUGUAAUCAUUUUUUUGUUGCAAAGACAUAAAAUCUAUUAUAAAAGAUUCAUCGAAAGUAUCAAAAACAUCUCAAACAUAAUAAAUAUAACAUCGGGUCCAUGGACCACCAAACGACAAUUGACGUCGGCGGGACGAACCGUGGGCGCGCCCCUGCCACCGCUCUCAUACUAGAGCCGCCCUGAUCUUAUCGGUGACAGUCGAAAAGUCUUUGAUUCGGAGCUGCCCGCACGAAGCAACGGCCGAAGGUGGAGGAGGCCGACGGACGGGCCGGGCGCCGCCAAUUGAGCUGCCCUCGCAGAUCCGUGCGCGGGCGCCGCCGCACCUAAACCGGAGCUGCCGUCAGAGUUGCUGCACGUGGUCACACGUGCUCGGGAGAAAUGAAACGGGUUGGAGCAAAAGGAAACGGAUCGGAGUGAAAUGAGGCUAGGAUUUGCUCUGCAUGGGGAUCUUAUGGAGUCGACGUCUUGAAGGUCUUCAUCAUAUCAUCAUAGCUAGGAGUAGUAUAGCUAGUAGCUUCACGUACCACACAAUACAUGCAUGCAUAAAAUGAAAAACUUGUUUUCAUGCACGUCGUCGGCCUCCGAACCAACCCUCGCUGAGUGCGUGCAUGCGUUUUAUUCCAUCUCCAUCCACCAUGGCCAGCCCGUGCAUGGAUAUAUAGCUCAACACCAAGCAUCUUGCGGUUACACUUUGCCGUCCGCGUCCAAAUUGCUGCACUGCACUCAAUUCCAUCUGCAUCGGCCAGGGAUCGAUGAUAGAUCGAGUAGAUAGGCCAGCUACUUCGAGCCGGCGUCAUACCGCGAAACACGACCCAUCCGCCGUCCUCCCCGGAUGUGCUACGUACCACGACCGGGCUAUCUUGCCAUGCACGAACGGAUUGAAUGUGCACAACCCGUUUCUAUCUUUUUGGGAGCAGGCGAUGCAAAGUUUUUAUUUUUUUGGGAGUCAUCGACAACAUCAUAUGUCAUUCCCUUAGUAAACAUCUUUUUUUGCAAAGACAUAGAAUAUACUACAAAAGAUUCAUCGGAAGUACCAAAGCAUCUUAAACACAAUAAAAUAUAACAUUGGGUCCAGUGGCGGAGCCAGAAACUAGGAACGCCCCAGGCAAACUACUAGCUACAGUAAUAAACAGUAUAAAACUAGCAACAAUACAGAACACAGCCUCACGCCCCAGGCCACCGCCUGGGCAGUCUGGGGCUUGUCUCCGCCGGCAGGAUGAACUGCGGGCGCGGCCCUGCCGCCACUCUCAUACUAGAGCCCCCUAACCUUAUCGAUAACAGUCGAAAAGUCUUCGUGCAUGUGCCCCUAAGGACGAGCACCCUAGACCCACAACCAUCGACGUCGCCGUUUUUCUCCUAGGAUGGAUCUGAAGAACCUGAUCUCAAAUCUCGCCAUUGUAUAUAUAUGCAUGGUGAGAAACCUUAACCUCAUGCGCCCCGAGGAGCUCAUAGAAAACCUAACCUCAUGGUUGACCAGAGAAGGAUCGUAGGCCCGAAGGACUGACUCGAAUAAGAAAUGCGGCCAUGCGUACGAGUGACGCCCCUGCGAGGACUAAAUGCCUACCUAUCUAUUAACCGGAGCCAAGGCACCAGGAUUCAAGUGGCCACCGCCGUCCGGAGAUAGUCGUGUCAAGCGAAGCCUAGCCAAGCAAACAUGAAACAAAUCUUAUAAUCGUUUCUAGUUUUUCUUUUUACCGGCUGUCCUGGUGUUCUCAUGAAAAGAAUUGCCAUGUACAUUGAAGGCACAAAAUAAACAGUGUUCAAUAACUAGCAUUUCUCAAAAUCAUAUAUACUACUAGUAAGCCGGAUUUAAGACAAGUCGUUAUGUGAUGUGUGGUGUUGGGUUGGGCGUGUCUAUUCACUUCCAUAGUAUGUUCAUUAGUGUCGAUUGCUACUCACCUGACCCAAAGAGAUGGCUCAGUAGACAACACAAAGCUUCGAGAGCGCGACACGGUAGAUGGAUUGGUUGGACGUCCUUGCGGACAAGGUGGUCGGUGUUGGGGUAUUGUAGCCUCAAGGGCCACUCCGAUGAGACGCACUUGGUGUAUGAGAGAAAAUAAAAUACUCCCUCCUUCUCAUAAUAUAAUAGUGUUUUUGGCACUAGUGUGGUGUAAAAAAAAUGCUCUUAUAUUACGGGACGAAGGAAGUAGAUGGUAACACACUGGUGAGUGGGUCUCACGUGAAAAAAAAACCGAGCUAGAGGUUGCAGGUACAAAAACUAGCCAAAUACCCAUGCGUUGUCCGUGUACAAAGAUACAUUAACGCGAGACGUCGGUGAAACAUCAUCAAUUGCUAUUCACGGUGGGUACGUCACAUGUGACCGGUUUAAGAACGUGUUUCUGCGAUGACCAUACAUCAUGUUUAUUAUCUAUCGCAAUGAUUGGGUAUGGCUGUUUUUUGUAACGGAUUUUGUGAUAACCAAUCAAGGCACUUUAGGCCGGGGUGAUGGAGAUGGUGAAAGGAUUGACGGGUUUUAUUUAGUAAGUAGCGUGAUCCGCGUGACAUGGGGCAUCUGUCGUCGGAUCAAGAAAGGAUGGACGGCUGAGAUUGACGCCAUGAGGGCAAUCCGUGGGAGGACCGGGUUAACCAAUCAGCGCUCACUUCCCGGUCUUUCGCGAAUAAUUUGGAUGGCGCGCGCGCUCACGGAGACAAAUGAAUCUUAUCCAACCAACGGAGGCCCAAACCACCCACAGACCCAAUCUCUUCCUCCUCUCGCGACUCGCUCUGCGCCGCCGCUUCCGAUUCCCUUCCCUCAACCACAACCCCGCCGCCGCCGGCGGCGGCGGCGAGGGCGACGGCCUCCUCACCCACACCCGGGCCUGUCUCCCAUCGGCGCUGCCGCCCUACCCUCUCCCCUUCUCGAUCUGGAUCCCGAUCCGGUCAUGCGGCGUGCAGAUCCGCCACUGCGUACUCCUCCACCCACCCAACCGACGCCGACGACCACCCGUCGUCCUCCUCCUCCACGACCACGCAGCGGUAGAGCUCCCACCCAGCCAUGGAAGCCCCCUCCUUCCGCGCGCCGAAACCCUAGUCGACCGAGCAUGGGACCUCGCCAUGGAGUGGUACGGCAUCAAUCCCCUCGCCACCUUCUCUUUCUUCUUCCUGUUUUCUUCAUCACCUCUCGCAUCUGAUGCGUGCGUUCCAUCUGUACGUGCAGUUUGGGGGCUAUGGAGGAGAGGGAGAUGCUCCCGUCCGAUCUGGGGAAGGAGGAUGCCCACCAUUACCAGGCUGCUCAACCUCACCACCGUGAUUAUCUUGCCAAGGUGACCUCUUUCUCCCGCUCCCCCACUAUUGGUUUCGAUUCAGGCUCCUCUGCCCUUCCUGAUGCGGUUGGAUUCCUUAGGCACGCAGGCCACCAUGCGGUGGAUUCUUCGUCCUGAGAUUAAAACAUUCAUCCUGCGAUUGCUGGUGUGACUGCCGUCGUGAGCCCUGGCCUGAAUAGCUUCGUCAGGAAGAAGAAAACUGAGAGAGAAGAGACAGACUUGAAAUUUCAGAAAUGUUCAGUUUGCCCACUUCACAAUGUUUAGUCAUUUUCAGUAGCUUGUGCAAUGUUCUGGUCUGGCGAAUGAUUUUAGACGUGCAAAAGGGCAGUAGGUUUUUCGGCAUGGUCUUGGCAUAAAUAUUGAUCGUCAAACAGUUCUGGGUGUCGCAUCAUAUGCUAUUAAUGUCAUUCUGCCACCAACAAAUUACUCACCUGACAUUUUUGCUCUGUGAAUGAAAUACAAAGGCAACAUUUAUGUUUUAUUGCCUGCAAUUCCUAUUCAUGUUCUAGGCUUGGUUGAGUUCUGCUUUAUUUUCUAAGAAAUUAUGUGUUGGGUUUGGCACCGAGCUACUGCAUUGUUUGGACUUGGCACUUGGUUUCGUCGCUGCUAAGCUAUUGCAAGUGAUUCUGUUUAUUUGUGCCUUACAAGUAAGUGCUCAACUGAUUGAUGGUAACGCUAUACUGCAUAUUUUGCUCUUCAUGAAUGGGCAGCCCCUUCUCUUUGGAUGAUGUUAUUGUUCUAAUAGAGAGCAAUUUGUUGUAGCGACGAAUUUCCUUCCUCCCCUUCCAUGGUUGCAGCGAUUUAAUUUCCCACUAGCUAGCUCGGUUGGUUUGGUUUGGUUUGGUUUGGGUGCACCGAUCCAUGUAGUUUGUUUCUGUUGUAAAAAAUCCAUCAACUCAGAAACAAUUAAGUCUUUGGUUGUUCCAACAAAUCAGUGAUGCAGUAUAAAGCUUAUGGGUGUUUUUCUGUAUUCGAGUUUUCUCUCCUUAUUACAAGGAUAGCUUUGCCUCCAAAAUAUAUAGUUAUAACUUUACAGAUCAAAGAGAAAAAAAAUUUGUUUGCUCAAAGUUCCACCAUUGUCCUGUUCAAACUGUAAUAUUUAGAUGACAUGAAUCGUGAUCUAAGAGUUCAGUUCAGAUUUAAGGCGUGGAGAAAUAUGAUAAUCAAGUAGACUUAUGACCAUCACCGUGUUCACUUUGCUUUGGUUUCAGCUAGCCUGAUGUCUCUGCGUAAAAUAUUAAAUUAGCUGUUUGAAACUUUCUUCACAACAUGAAAAUUUAUAUAAGGCUACCAGGUCAUCUAUAAUUGGAUUAAAGAAAUGCUGAGUUAGCUUGAACAGUCCCCACAUAGAUUACUGGAUAAAUCAGAAACUGUAUGAAGUAAUAACUUCAACAAAGGAAAUCCCAGUGCACUUUUUACUUAUCACUUGCUAUGACCAUAGUAAUACAAUUGGUAUCGCCUCCUCUCCAUCAAUUUAUAUGAGUAUGUGUCUUAUUCUCCCAUCCAACACAUUUGCUCGAAUUAUGUGUUUAUUUACUAUUGUUUUCAUAUAGCAACUUCUGUUCUUGUGUAAUAUUUUAACAUCACUGGCAAUCAUUGUUAGGGUACGGUGGUGGUUGGCAUUCUGCUUGAUGCAGGCUGCACCUACUCCCACGACAGCGGUCAGCAACUAGGUGUUCGCCAUCGGAGUUCUUCAGUAUCGCCCCCUCUCCGUUGUGUAUGUGUAGUUUACUCUCCCAUGCCAAGUAUCUGCUUGAAUUAAGUUAGAUUCAGUAAGAAAAUUGGUUAGCUGAAUUUGGAUGGAUUGUGUCCCCAAGUGAAGAGCUGAAACAUUAUGUAUUUUAUUUUGGUCUUGUCCUCAAAUAUAUUUGUUUUGGGCAUAGCUAUCCUACAAGCUUAGUACUCGGGCUGUCAUAAUUUCUUUUGCGUACUUUGUACGUGCUUAGUCAGAUAUCUUAUUGGUUUUGUUCAUAGUUUGAGUCAGUUAUUGAACCAUCAAACAGAGCACCUCAUCUAUGGCCUGUUUGAUUGUGGCCUGAAGAAAAACAAGAACCAUUGGUUAGGAGUGUCGCUCAAUUCCUCUUAAUUUAUUAGUCCCAAUUUUGAUUGCAUCAGCCGCUUUGGGAGAUGUUCAUGUGCGCCACAAAAUUAACUUGAUCUGACAAUAGUACGAGGCUACCAGCCGGCCACUCUGUAGCUCCCAGUGUAGCUGGCUGGACUAUGCAGUUAUUUAAUUGGCGUUCAGAACUAGUGCCUUUGGUAGUUCCAGCAAAUCGGGAUUCAGUUGCGCUCUUCCGUUUAUCAGUGUACAAGUGUUUUGGAAUCUGCAUUGUUCAAGGUUUUAAUCUCCUCUAUCUGUACGGUACAUGACUUGCUUUUCUCAUGCAUGCAGACUAGAACAUAUGCAAGAUGCAGCAUAUGUUGGAGCAUGUCUGGCAGCCACACCAUCGUUGACAUGUGGGCGCCAGAGGAAGAGAUCGUGUGUGUGAGGGGGAAGGUGCCCAACAUCACCAGCUAGUCCAUCGACCUGCCCGCAUGAGAUCUUCAACUGCUAAAGGUGCCCGACCGUGGUGUGGCUUAGUGACAGAACGAUUACUGCCGCAGCCCUUUGGUUUGGACGCCGUCACUGACGGGAUGGCACUGGCUGUGUCGUAGCCUUCAUGUCCGGCUAGUAUGGCUUCGGUGGGCUACCUCCUUGUCGGCCACUACUCUGACCUCCCCCGUAGGGCGAUUAGGCUGCCUCGUCCUCAGUUCUGGUGAGUUUGUGGUCUCCCCCCCUAUCUCACUUGUGCCCCUGAGAUUGGCCGUCCUUCGAGCCGUGGCUGAUUGUGGUGUAGACCGUCGAACCAUUGAUUUGAGGGCCUGGUUAUGUGGUCAUGGCGCCUGUGCUGGAGGUCUUCUGACCAUCUUGUCUCUAGUCCCUAUUAUCCCUGUUAAGCAGCAAUGAGAACCUUGUGUUCUGAAUUUUGAAUCAAUGAACAAUCAGAUUUCAUUAGAAGUUGUGUUGCAGUAGCAGUUUCUUUAUGGAUUUGAGUUGUUAUUUUCACUGUUUUAGUUGGCAGACUACAUUCCUGAAAGUUACGGGGCUGUUUGGUUUGUGCCCAUCUCAGCCCUGCCAAAUCGUUGGCGCUGUUGGCUAGCCAAAAAAUUGGCGAACGAUUCCCUCGCCUGCGAUUCUGCCAACUAAUUGGCGCAAAAGAAGGAGGGAAGGCUGAGGCAGGGCUGGCAUGCCAAUUAUUUGGAUCCAAUCCAAACGCCACCACUAGGCUAGUCAACGACCAAUUUUUUGGUCGGGCAAGUCACGGAUCUAAACCAAACAACCCCUACAUAUUAGUCCUUCAUGUCUGUUUGGGUGGAGUGCUUCUACAUGGUUUUUUUGUAAAAAGACUCCACAUGAUAUUUCAUUCUGUGUUUUAAGAUAUUGUUCGGACUUUGGGUGGCAAAGUUAUGUUUUGAUUGAUUGAAACAUUAUCAAAUGGAUGUGAUCCAUCAAUAGUUGAGUGGGCCGGUGUUGGACUUGUCUGGUCAGAUUUUGAAAAUAUAGAUCUUAGUCUUUAAGGCAAGUGCCAAGUGGUGACAGAACGAAAUUGUUGGCCCAGUUAGUUCUGAGGUGCUUAUUAACAUCUUCCUUUUUUUGCUUUGUAGGCCAGGCCAGAGGAUCGGGUAGAGGAGUUGCCUGCAAUUCUACAUGCAAUGCAACCCAAGUGCAAUGAUGAUGUGACCCUACGGAUGCAGCAACAGUUCUUGGGCUUCAUCUCAUUACUUGUUGAGCGCAACAGCUGGCAGUGGUGAUGUCGUGCCAUGGCAGUGGCAGUGGUGUCUGCCUAGUUCUUGCUUCAGGUGAGUCCUUGGAUUCCUCUCUUUUUCUCUCUCUUGAUCGGAGCUGGUUUGGCCAUCGAGACGAUGAUUUAGUUGCAGAACAAGAGUGCCUACUGUGUAUGUGUAUGACAAAUACACCAACAAGAGUGAACAACAUCCAUAGUUGCAGAACUAUGUAGGGGGACAAUAAGAGCUAAUAUUUAACUUGUGUCGGAUUAUUUAAUGUUGUUCUUUUUGAGUUGAUGGCUUAUUUGAUAACUAGCUUUGCAAGCAUUGUUCGGCUACCUCGUAAUUACUAAUUGAAGAGUAUCUAGAUAUCCUGCUAUUUUUAUUUCUCAUGUCUUUCGAGCUUUUGCUUGUACUUUGGAUUCAUAUUAUUAAUAGUCUUUUUAUCUUACGAAAAAAGACAGCAUGUUGUCUUCUUGAAUGGGUUCCUAAGUGGUGCGUAGUGUUCAUAAGAGAGAGACCUGGCUUGGCAUUUCUUUUGAUUAUCACAGGAGACAAACAUUAUGAUAGCUUGGUUUAUCUAGCUUGAUUUUGUAAAAGCUCGUGGUCCGGUCUUUGCUAGGCUGAUGUUGUACAAUCUCUGUUGUCAUUUGUUUCAUUAAGCAUGCCCACCUUGUCCUUGUGCUAUCAGGUGAGAAUAGCCCUUAGUCUAUCUUAUGUUCACUAUUGAUGGGAUUGGACAAGGAGAGACAUAUCUAUUCCCAAGUGUUAUUGUUGUGCUUUGUAUUGCUGAAAAGUGUGGCAUACCUGACCUAUAUUCCGUGUGUUGUGCUAUGUGCAGUGAAUACAAUAAUAUGAUCACCAUGCUGCGUUUUCAGUUUGCAUCCCAUGGUUUUUGUUCUCAUGUUAGUUUACAAUUAUUAGCAUUUUUGGUUGCCGGUUAUAAUGAUUUAAUCUCAAGCCGAGACAUUUGGCUCAUCAGGAGCUUAGUUUUUUUGUUUCCCUAUAUUUCCUAACCAUCUUAAGGAGUGAUUCACACUACAUAAAUGGUUAUGAUAUAAACCCCUUUCCGAAGAAAGAAGCUUUAGGAAUAAGCUUAAGCCAUCAAAAGGUUUGUCUUGGUCAAGCUCAUUCCUGAGAUUAACCAUUGGUCGAGAGCAAAUUGUCUCAGGCAGCGGAUCGGAUGUAGGCCUCUCGGUAAUUGGAUGGUGUAUAUAGUCUCACUGGAAAAAAAAUAUAGGACAGCGGAUCAGAUGCAUUGCGAAUAAUCAAUAGCUCUUGUAAUCAGUGCCUCGGCAAUGUCACGUGUUCCCCUCACUGUCAUGUUCUUCCAUACAACAUAGCUGAAGUCCCAAAAAAGUGAGACAAUUUCACAUGCUAGGUGAUUUGGUGUGUACCAAAAUCCCAUGAUGUCAUAGCAUUUUAGCUUCCUAACUCGGUUCUUUAGAUAAUAGAAACUCUAGAGAGAUAAAAUUGCCCAUGUGUAACACUAUUCGACAAAUGUAGCGGUUCCAUAGAUUUGGGUUUCUUCCUUUCUCUUUCCUAUUAUCUUGCAUAAUUUGGCUUUUGAACUGAUUUGUUAAGCUUUUCUUUAUCAUGGUUCUAUUUUGCUGGUUCAAAUAAGUAUCUGCCCAAUGAUGAACAUUGCAUUUGAUACUUCCUGAUUAUUAAAGAGUAGCUAAGUGCAUAUCAUUUAUCAAUCAUCUACAUCUUUAAUUACUAAAGUUAGUUUUCCCAGAAACAGUAACUAUUUAGACAUACAUUUUUUCUUGAUUCACAUUUGUAAUUUAAAAUUUUGCGUGUGAUCUUGUGUGCCCUGAUUUUGUUUUUCAUAUUGAACGGAAGUUACUAUAAAUGUGCAUUUCAUUCCUAUAUGAAUUCCGGUCUUAAAAAUGAUCUGUUAGAGAGUGCAUGGCAAGUUAUAGGUAACAAACUGACUCUUCACAAGAUGGUUAUGUUGUUGCAAGUUAAGAUUCAAAAUGCAACUCAAAUUACAUUUAUUUUGCUGAGAGAAGGCUAGGACCUCCAGCCUUCCACUUGAUAGCUUGUCAUGCUUGCGUUGGCUGUAGUUUCUACUUCUACAUGAGUGUUAGUCAGGCUGGCCGGGUGCCAAUGAAUUCGUUUCUUUUCUUUUGGUUUUGUUGCUAAACUUUGUGCUUGUUCUGCUAUCGCUGAUAGUGGAACCUGAAGAAAAUUAUUGUUCUUGCUUCAUAUGGAAGGAAAAACACUUCCAGCAUUGCAACUGGUAGGAUGUUGCUGUACUAGUUAGCGAAAUCACCAUGCCGUUUUUUUCUUGGCUGUAUGUCUUGACCAUGACAUCAAAAAUUUGAUUUCUUGCUUAUAACACUUCAAUCCCCAAACAUCCUUGAUGUGCUCAUUCUAAUUCUAUUUUUUGUCAUGCAUCUGGUUGGAUGCUUGAAGAAGGAAAGACGCCUUGAAAGCUUUGUUUGAGGAUAGAUGAAGUUGGCUCCCGCCUGGUGGCUACGGUUCCCCAAGCGCCAGACCAUCCUCGUCCUCUGCUUGCUUCUUCUCCUUCAUGCACUUCAACAUGGACCGUGUGAGUUCCUUUGUUCUCCAGACCUACUUAUCUGCUCACUACAGUGGUCAUUGAGUGCUGAUCGUGUAGAUAGAACAUGAGUAUCCAGUAUGCUCUUUCUUCGUUUACCAUCCUUCCUGGUUCACCAUGAUGGACCAUGAUCGAGAUUUUUUUUUAUGUUUUGUCUCCAUGCUUGUGCAUUGACAUCCAUCUCUUCAUCUAGGAGAUGAAGAGAGAUGAGUGUUUAUGUUUGUCCCUGUGCUUGCGCAUUGAUAUCCAUCUCUUCAUCCUGGCGGCACAGAAUUUUUUACCUAUUUACAUUUUGCAUGUUUCUUAUUCGUCCCUCGUGAUAUCUCAGUGGUGCCACUGUUUUGGGACUGAAAUUUCUGGCCAUUUGUACUUCCACAUUCGUUAAACAAGAAAAUGGCCGGGACUUUGUAUAAACUUGAAUAUACACAUCUGUUCAUCACUUGUACUCCCACUGCUUUUCUUCCUUCUCUAUUCUUUUCGCUCUGGGCAUGUAGUCAUCCAUGGCCUCUGUGCCCUGGCUACAUAGGUUUUGGCUCUGGUGGCCUCAAUAGGCUCAGGAAAACGUCAUUGGAUGUGUGUUCAAGUAUGUGUGUUUGUUCUAGUUUGCUUGGUGCAUGUCUAUUUUAUUUUUUGCACAUUGUGACUCUUUCUGCUACUCUGCGUUUUGGUUGCAUAUUCUUUUGAAGUGUCGUUGCGUUUCAAACUGUUUAAUUUAAGUGAUUCACUCUUUUAAUUUAAGUGAUAGUUGGUACUACAUAUCAAUCAAACUAGCAGUACAUGUCCUCACAUAUUGAGAAAAGAACAUAUAAUCUCUCCUAUGAUAUUUGAGUUUGCAAAUUUCUUUUGAUAAAUUAUGAUGAUAUUGAACUGCUGUUUAGUGCAAUGCUUUUUGUGGUAAAAAUAGUUUGGGAAUCUUGAAAAGGAUGAAUCAUGCUUGCUCAUGCCUUUUUUUAUCUUGUAUGGCGCAGAUUAAUAUGGUUGAGAAGCUUGCCGUAUAAGCAGCCACCAUGUCUGGGCUGCCAAGCAGAGUUAUUACCGAGUGUGUGCUCAUGGACUAUGACAUGGAAACAAUGCUGCUCAACACGAGUUUGCUCGGCAAAGCAGCUCUGCCUGUGUCGAAGCUCAUUCCUGCGCGGCGCCUCUGGUGGCCACUUCUUCGAAUAAGGCAUAGGUAAGCCACUUGGGUUGCUCGUCCCUGCUUUCUUGUAUGCUUUGUGUGCCCAUCCAUGGUCAUUGAGCCGUGGUAGCAGUGCGGCAUUGUGAUGGUUUAUGGGCCUUUUAGAAAGGCAUGUGUAGUGCAGGUGCUAUGUAAUUUGUUCUUCUUAGAUGGUCAGGAUGCUUCUUAUUGAAUGGUUAGGAUGUCUCUUUGUUCAACAUAGCUAUUGUUUAUGAUUGCUUAAGCAUGUGUAUUAUGAAUGGCACUACAUGAAGUAGCUUCUAUUACCAAGUGAUUACUACUUUGUAAGAGUAAGCCUACUACGGUUCUGCUCUUGGUUAGAAGCAUGCAUGUUUUAUUCUUUCCAUGUGUUAGCAAUUUAUAAAAUUGGGAAUUUAUGCCUAUGAACAAUGUAGAUCUUCUCAUGAACAUCUAAACUGAUAUUUUUAUCUGUCUUCAUUCAAUUUAGUGUAUACUAGGAGAUGUAGACACACUCUGUAUCUUGGUACUGAUGUGCUCGUCAUGUGUUUUUUGGUUGUGUGUGGCUCAGAUAAAUAUGUCUGGUAAGCUUGGCGUACAGGAAAUAUGGAACCACCAUGGCCGGGGUGCCAGGCAGAGUUGUUCCUAUCUGUGUGUUCAUGGAGACAAAUGCUUUUCAUCAUGAGUUUGGCCGGCAAAGCAGCUCUGGUUGUGCCAGCACUCUAUCCCUUCUUGGCGCCUCCCGGUGGCCACUUCUUCGAAUCCAGUGUAGGUGAGCCACUUUGGUUGCUCUCUGCUGCUUUCUUGUAUGCUCUGUGUGCCCAUCCAUGGUCAUCAAGCUGUGGUAGUAAUUUGGCAUUGUGAUGAUUUAUAGUCCUUUUAGCCAAGCAUGUAGUGUAGGUGUUGUGUAAUUUGUAUCUCUUAGAUGGUCAAUAUGUUUCUUGUUGAAUAGUCAGGAUGUCUCUUGUUGAACACAGCUCUUGUUUUUAAUUAAGUUCUCUCGUUAUUAUGAUUGCUUAAGCAUGUGUGUUAUGAAUGGCACUGCAUGUAGCUUCUGGGUGUAAGACCUUGUUCUUCCCUUGAUAGAAUUUUGAUGGAGUAGUUUUGGUAAGAAGAGGGCUUGUUUAUUUCUAGGUGAUGCUAAGCUACCUAGGUUAAAUUCCCUGAAGUAAUUUAACGGCUUGAGUUAAAUAAACAUCUAUGCACGCAUGCUUCUUGGCCAUGGUAGGUGAUUCUUUCUUGGUCUAGUAGUCCGAUAAUAUUGUAGAAGAGAAGAAGAGAUACCCUCUGUUUGAUAUUUUACUGAGUGUGAGCUGUAGUUUGGUUCUGCUGGAUAAGAAUGCUUGACCUAUUCCAGUUUUGGAAUCUAACUUAGUUUGGUGCUCAUCAUUUUUCUUAGUUCUCGAUAUAUGUAUAAUGAACUGGAGAUAGAUAGUUUAUGCUACUGUUUGAUAGAGAUUAGUUCCUGAUUGUUAUUGUGCUACUUCCACAUAUUCCACUGAAAAGAGUGUUGCUUGGACUUCUAGUCUAUCUCAGAUCUCCUAAUUUAUUUGUUUGUUCGAUUCAGAGCAGUAGGCGUUCUCCAUGGACGACAUCAAUGAGGAACAUGCAGGACCACGCGCCCAAGCUGUCAAGCUCGACGUGGACAUCAUUGGGUUGUACCUCUACCCCGAGGCGACGACGAUGCCGAAGGUUGCUCUCUACUCCGCCCUCCCACCCAAGAUGCUUUUUUCUCCCAAGUUAUCGCUGCUCUGCUCUAACAUAGUUUCUAGACACUCAUAUCAUGUCCGUGUUCACAGUGGUCUAGUAUCUAGCUCUAGCCCAGUUGCUAUUGUUAUUCGACAUAGUCUCCAAAGUUCCAUGGUGCGAAGUGGCUUUGGCCUAUCUUCUGGUUGAACUCCAGUACCAAUGUAGACGUUGCUGCUUCACUCAACUUAAUUUUUUGCGCCGUCAUCAAGGGCCAUGCUCUGCUCAGGAUGCCUCUCUUCCCCCUGCUCUGAUGCCAUCAAGCAUCACCAACUCGAUGCAAGGGGAGGAGUAGCCAGGAGGCUUCUUCUUUUGUUGACGCGGCCAUGGAAGGUCUCCCUUCUCCUCCUUCUCCCUCUCUAUUGUUUGAUUUGGUGGUUCCAUAAUGUAGUUCCUCACACGCACAUGUGUAGGACAGAGCCAGCUCCACCCCGGCCCCUCCGGUAGCCCCGAUUCCUCUUCCACACCAGCGUGGAUGAUGGUAAGCCACUGACCGGUACUCUCCUCUGCUCCCUCCGAUGGUCUUGGUGCUUGCUUGUCCAUAGCCAUCGAGCUGUAGUAAACUCUGGGCUGGGCUGCUGGCCAUUGUGUCGUCCAUGGAAGGCUUCUAGGAGUUGAUGGUCACAUUUGCACUCAUAUUGGACAGGCUAGAGCCUACUACUAUUGAUCUUUAGUUGAGAUGGUAGGUCUUGCGUUGAUAUUGGAUUGGCAUGCAUCAUAGGUCAUGAAUGAUACACAGUUCAAUGGCACCAUUAAUCCUAUUUCUAACAGUGAGCUAAUUAUGUUUCCAUGCACAAACUAGAACAAGUUACUCCUAGAGUUGCAAUGUUUAAGGUACUAUCAUUAAUAUCCUCAUUCUUGUUGCAUCCCUGCAUAUUUUCUCUCUCUCAAUUAAUUUAGUUACUAACUUGUGUCAACAGACUAGCUACAGCCAGCCAUUGAUCUCAUCCUUGGAUGAACAUUAUCUUCAACUUGAGUUUUCAGAAAACGACAUAACAUGCAUCCUCAGCCUUGUUGCAUCCCCCUAUAUUUUCUCUCUCUCAACUAAUUUAGUUAAUAAACUCUAUGAACAGACUAGUUACAGGCAACUAUUUUCUUCCUCUUGUGAAGUUCCACCACAGAUUGUGUCUUGGGAUGAAUAUUUCCCCCCUCUUGAUCUUUAUAUAUUAUUCAUGAAUAUGAUGCUACGGGGUUGAGCCUGUGAUGUCAUAGUCACACUUGGCUUGCUGAUCUUCCUUUCUAUUUUGAUCAGUGAGUUCAGCUUGCUACUAUUUUAGUUAUAUUUUGCAUCGGUGUGAGCGUCUUUUUUCUCUUUGGCUACAGGCCAUUUAUAUUUUCUUACCACUGACCGUAUUGUGGGCUAUAUUAGUAUGUGAUGCUAUUUAUUGUACAUCAAAUUCAUAGUCCCUUGUACAUAUGGAGGUGUUAUGAACAUCAGUAGCACAUAUUGUUAAAUCAACAAUUUUGGUUUGUGAUAUCUAAAGAUGAGGGUGUAAGACUAGAAAAUCUUUCCUAUCUAUCCGAAAUAUUUUUCAUAUAAUUAUUGCUUGAGCGUAAUUAUUUGGAGCGCUAAAAUCU